CUUCCCGUCCGCUCAGCCGUACUUAAGCCACACGCCGGGAGGUUAGUAGUUGGGUGGGUGACCACCAGCGAAUCCCUCCUGUUGUAUGUU
rfam:Aspergillus flavus AF70 854, whole genome shotgun sequence.